UACGUAGGGGGCGAGCGUUGUCCGGAGUACUGGGCGUAAAGCGCACGCAGGCGGUCUGCUAAGUUUGGAGUGACAGUUGGUGGCUUAACUGCCAAAGUGCUUCGAAAACUGACAGACUUGAGGGCUUCAGAGGGACACGGAAUUCCGGGUGGAGUGGUGAAAUGCGUAGAGAUCCGGAGGAACACCGGUGGCGAAGGCGGUUCUCUGGGCCUGUACUGACGCUGAGGAGCGAAAGCGUGGGGAGCGAACAGG
rnacentral:rRNA from 1 species